UACGUAGGGUGCGAGCGUUGUCCGGAAUUAUUGGGCGUAAAGAGCUCGUAGGCGGUGUGUCGCGUCGGCCGUGAAAACUUGCAGCUUAACUGUGGGCGUGCGGGCGAUACGGGCAGACUGGAGUACUGCAGGGGAGACUGGAAUUCCUGGUGUAGCGGUGGAAUGCGCAGAUAUCAGGAGGAACACCGAUGGCGAAGGCAGGUCUCUGGGCCACUACUGACGCUGAGAAGCGAAAGCAUGGGGAGCGAACAGG
rnacentral:rRNA from 1 species